UGAAAGAACUGAAGACAGUGAGUGGCUCACAAGGGACCCAAAGAGACUUCAAGGCCCCAGGUAGGAAAGUGCUACAGAAAUACAAGGAUGUGGGGAAUAGCUGAGGCUGAACCUAAGAAUUAUGCUUCCAAAGUCUGAAGAUAGCAGCUAACUGAGAGAUCCUGAAACUGUUCUCCUUUUCAUAUAGGCUACUGAGUUAUUGGUAUUCCAGAGUAAAACCCAGGAGUGUUACGCUUUAUAGAUCUUCACUAAGCUCUGGAGUGCCACAGAUAAUAACUGUAAAAGCAAUAAUUAAUAAUUGCUAUUAAGAUAUCAUUUACAAAAGCCUGCAAAUAAGUUGCCAUAUGUCAGAGAAGGUCAGGCAGUAGCCCGGAGGCAGACAGUUGUAUCCCAAAGUCACUGAUGAGCCAGGUGAGAGCACCAGGUGCUGAAUAUUGCCAGUGACUGUGCACACCAGGAAACCUGGCCCCUUGCCCUUCUGCAGGGAAGUGUUAACAGAGCAAGUCAGAGCAGAAAAUGGUAGAGAGCAGGGAAACCAGUUCUUCAGGGUGUGUAAUGGGAUAUUUUGAAUUUUUAGUGAAAAAUGUUCACUUUUCUCAGCAUUGGAGAGCAACUCCCAGUGUGUUUUGUUCAUCGCUCAGCUGAGGAGUGGCAUCAGAAAGACCAAAAAGACUGGGAGACUGGACUUGAUUUCUCCUGGGCGGCCCACAGACCCCACUCUAUGCCCCUUCCAUGAGGCCUCCAAGUCUGCAGAUGUCCCUUUGUGUGGACAGCCAGACCAUGGCCCUGCCAGCAAUGCCGACUAUUGCACACACACUGGCUGCUUCCAAGAAACAUCUCAAGAUGUAGGAAGAUGGAGAAUCACGGCCUGCCAGUGCAAGCUGCAUGGAGUCACACAGUGCAUAGCUGCAGAAAGCAUGACCUGA
rnacentral:lncRNA from 1 species